UACGAAGGGGGCUAGCGUUGCUCGGAUUGACUGGGCGUAAAGGGCGCGUAGGCGGUUAGUCCAGUCAGGCGUGAAAUUCCUGGGCUCAACCUGGGGGCUGCGUUUGAUACGUAUUGUCUGGAGUUCGGAAGAGGGUCGUGGAAUUCCCAGUGUAGAGGUGAAAUUCGUAGAUAUUGGGAAGAACACCGGUGGCGAAGGCGGCGACCUGGUCCGAUACUGACGCUGAGGCGCGAAAGCGUGGGGAGCAAACAGG
rnacentral:rRNA from 1 species